GCCUGCGGCGAUAGCACGUUGAAUGUAUCAGUUCCCAAUGGAUCACUGAAGUUAAGCAACAUUGUGCGUGGUUGCUGUCGGGAUGGGUGACCAUCUGGACAAAUCAUGUCCUGCUUGCA
rnacentral:rRNA from 1 species